rnacentral:rRNA from 1 species
AACGCACCUUGCACCCUUUGGUAUUCCGAAGGGUAUGCUCGUUUGAGUGUCAUUGUACUCUCACACUCCUGAUCAUUUGGUUGGGAGCGGUGGACUUGGGUGUUGCUGCUUCACCGUGGCUCACCUUAAAUGCGUUAGUGCACCUUUCGGUUGGACAUAGUACGGCGUGAUACGUGUCUUCGCCGGCACCUCACAGAGGGUGGCCGAUCGGGAGCUCUGUGCUUCCAACUGUCCUCGGACAACUGUUGACAACUUGGCCUCAAAUCGAGUAGGACUACCCGCUGAACUUAAGCAUAUCAAUAGGAGG